rnacentral:rRNA from 1 species
UACGUAGGGUCCGAGCGUUGUCCGGAAUUAUUGGGCGUAAAGGGCUCGUAGGCGGUCUGUUGCGUCGGGAGUGAAAACUUACAGCUUAACUGUGAGCGUGCUUCCGAUACGGGCAGACUUGAGGUAUUCAGGGGAGAACGGAAUUCCUGGUGUAGCGGUGAAAUGCGCAGAUAUCAGGAGGAACACCGGUGGCGAAGGCGGUUCUCUGGGAAUAUCCUGACGCUGAGGAGCGAAAGUGUGGGGAGCGAACCGG